rnacentral:rRNA from 1 species
AUGCUUAUUCUGAAAUAUGAACUCCAUCUCAUCAAAGUUGGCAACAGCGGCGGAGCCAACAUACAAGCAUUGGGUUCAACUGAACCCAACAGAUUUUGCUCCGUACGUGCAUGGACUUUGAUUGUUCUAGGCCAUGGAUCAGUAUUUUCGAAGAAAUCUCGGUCACCAGAUCCAGAUAAUGAUGCAGGCAUAUCAAGGUCACCCAUAAGACAUAGGCUAAGUGCAUCAAAUGUCCCCGCAGCUAGUCUUCUAAAGGCUACUAUUCAUACAUAA